UCAAUGCUUCGGAAGUAUGUCUCGGACUCGUCCCAUGUCCUGAGUUAUGAAGCGUUAGAACUUCAGUCAGAUUUGUCAUACGAGGAACAACCAGUGCAGAUACUUGAUAGAAGAGAGAAAGUCUUGAGAAGCAAGACUGUGGCACUGGUGAAAGUACUGUGGAGGAACAGUAAAGUAGAAGAGGCAACCUGGGAGCUCGAGACGGAUAUGCAGCAGAAAUAUCCGGAGUUGUUCAGGUAAAUUUCGGGACGAAAUUUCUAUAAGGAGGGGGUAAUUGUAAUACCCGGGAUUAAGAAAAGGAUUAGCAAAACCCUAACUAGAUAAUUAUGUAUAAUUGAGGAAAUUAUAUUAUUAUAUAAUUUAAUAUAUGUGAUUUUAUAUGAAUUUAACAUGUUAAAGACCCCGUUGGUGAGCCAGGGGCAUUUUGGUAAUUAUGACCCGAGAAGAGUAAAAUGAUGAAAUUAAUUUAAUUAUGUGCUUAAUAGAACUAUAUUAUUAUAUAGUAUUCCUGUGUUGUCUUUUCAGGUGUGUUCUGACAGGUUGGCGCGGUAUAGUCACAACCGGGUAUUUUGGGCCGAACCGGGUUCGGGCCCGAAAUGCAAAUUAGAUUGAAUUAAUUGGCAUUUUAUUUGAUAAUGAGAAAUCUGAAAUUUAAUUGGGUUUGAAUUGGUGUGUAAAUGUCAUUUUGCCCUUGCAUGCCUAAGUGAAUGUUAUUUGGCCCUAGGGGGCAAAAUGGUCUUUUUAGACCCUUAAUUUAUGUUUAAUAAAAGAAUGAUUUUAAGGAAAAGAGAAUUAUUUUUCUAGUUUUCCUUCAGCCCUAAAACCGUACCCCUCCUCUCCUCUUCACUUAUUUCUUAAAUGUUUAGAUUUUUGUAGAUUGUUCUUGAAUUGAAGGUUUUGUAAAGUUGAAUUUCUUGUGGAUAGAAGCUUGAAGUUGUGGAUUACCGGCACCUGGUCAGGAGCACCCGGGGAUUUGGAAUCUCUACUAUUGCGGGACAAUAGGAAAGGGUAAGGCAUUAGCUGAUCUGCCAUGAGUUUUCAGGAGCAGGACGAAGAAUGUACAUGUUCACGCCACUUCAGACCAAGCGGGUUAUGGGUCUAACAGUGUUGACUUUUGUAUUCUGUUUUGCCGCUUAGGCCGGCUAGUAAGAAAGAACUUGUAAUAAUUUUGUAAAUAUUUUUGGGAUCCCAACUAUGUUUGAAAAGUUUAAAUAUAUUACAAGUUUAUUUUCA